UGGGUAACCUGCCCUGUACACACGGAUAACAUACCGAAGGUAUGCUAAUACGAGAUAAUAUGCUUUUAUCGCAUGGUAGAAGUAUCAAAGCUUUUGCGGUACAGGAUGGACCCGCGUCUGAUUAGCUAGUUGGUGAGGUAACGGCUCACCAAGGCAACGAUGCGUAGCCGACCUGAGAGGGUGACCGGCCACACUGGGACUGAGACACGGCCCAGACCUCCGUACGGGAGCA
rnacentral:rRNA from 1 species